GCUUAACACAUGCGAGUCGAACGAAGCAUUGGAAGGGAGGCUUUCGGGCCAAACGGAAGAUUGACUGAGUGGCGGACGGGUGAGUAACGCGUGAGCAACCUACCUACAAGAGGGGGACAACAGCUGGAAACGGCUGCUAAUACCGCAUAAGACCACACUAUCGCAUAAUAGAGAGGUCAAAGAUUAAUUUCGCUUGUAGAUGGGCUCGCGUCCCAUUAGGUAGUUGGUAGGGUAAAGGCCUACCAAGCCUGCGAUGGGUAGCCGACCUGAGAGGAUGACCGGCCACACUGGAACUGAGACACGGUCCAGACUCCUACGGGAGGCAGCAGUGGGGAAUAUUGGGCAAUGGGCGCAAGCCUGACCCAGCAACGCCGCGUGUGGGAAGAAGGCCUUCGGGUUGUAAACCUCUGUCCUUGGGGACGAAAAAAAUGACGGUACCCGGGGAGGAAGCUCCGGCUAACUACGUGCCAGCAGCCGCCGUAA
rnacentral:rRNA from 1 species